rnacentral:rRNA from 1 species
AGAGUUUGAUCAUGGCUCAGAUUGAACGCUGGCGGCAUGCUUUACACAUGCAAGUCGAACGCGAGUGAGGGGGCAACUCCUCGCUUGAGUGGCGGACGGGUGAGUAAUACAUCGGAACGUAUCCUGUAGUGGGGGACAACCCAGCGAAAGUUGGGCUAAUACCGCAUACGCUCUUUGGAGGAAAGUGGGGGACCCGCAAGGGCCUCACGCUAGAGGGGCGGCCGAUGUCCGAUUAGCUAGUUGGUGGGGUAAAGGCUCACCAAGGCGACGAUCGGUAGCUGGUCUGAGAGGAUGAUCAGCCACACUGGGACUGAGACACGGCCCAGACUCCUACGGGAGGCAGCAGUGGGGAAUUUUGGACAAUGGGGGCAACCCUGAUCCAGCCAUGCCGCGUGCGGGAAGAAGGCCUUCGGGUUGUAAACCGCUUUUGUUCGGGAAGAAAAGGCCCUGGUUAAUACCUUGGGUUCUUGACGGUACCGGAAGAAUAAGCACCGGCUAACUACGUGCCAGCAGCCGCGGUAAUACGUAGGGUGCGAGCGUUAAUCGGAAUUACUGGGCGUAAAGCGUGCGCAGGCGGUUCGUUGUGUCUGAUGUGAAAGCCCCGGGCUUAACCUGGGAAUGGCAUUGGAAACUGGCGAGCUGAAGUGUGGCAGAGGGGGGUGGAAUUCCGCGUGUAGCAGUGAAAUGCGUAGAGGUGCGGAGGAACACCGAUGGCGAAGGCAGCCCCCUGGGCCAACACUGACGCUCAGGCACGAAAGCGUGGGGAGCAAACAGGAUUAGAUACCCUAGUAGUCC